UCCAAUACGGCAACUCCGAUUAGGUUUCAUCUUCUUCUAUACGCUUCCAACUCACAACCGUCUACUUUCUCCCCAAAUCUUCUAGGUAAGAUUCCAAAUCUGUAAUCGUCGACUGGAAAUCUUCAACAACAAGGUUAGAUUACGAUUUCUUUCUGUUAAUCAUGUUUAUUUCUCUAUUCUUCAUCUUCUCACAUACGGUUAGUUCGAUUAGGGUUUUUUUUUGUUCUUUCUCUUCCUCAUCGCAAUCGAUCCUAAAUCUCUUUAGAAACAACUGGAAGCAGCCAAGCAACUAGGUUAAUUUUUCUCGAUCUAUGAUGUUUUAAACAUUGUUUCAUGAUUCAAUCUUUUAAUUAUUUUACAAGAUUCAUUUUCCAUAUAUGAAAUGGCCUUUACAUUACAAACCCUAAAUAAUUGAAUCAUAAUACAAUCCAUAAAUAAUUGAAUCAAAGACAAUCGUUCUUCAAAUAUCGAAGAUCUGUUGCAUAUUGUGGUGUCGCAAAGGACUUUUGAUUCGGUAUGUUUCUUUAAACAAUCCAUGUUUUUCUUACAUUGAUUUUAGAUUUGUAGAUGUUGAUUGAACGUUUUAGAUUGUAGAUUUAUUAUAUGUCUUGAAUCGAUUGUAUAGUUAUGAUAUAUCUUGAAUCGAUUUUUAGGUUUUUUGGUUUUCCAUCAUAUCAGAUCUCUGGUAACAUAUUUUUUGACAUAUGAUUGUUAUUUGAAAUCUCCAAUCUGAUGGUGUUUUUUGUAGGCAUAAUUGCAUAAACACACAUUAACUGCGUAUAUUCUUUAAAUCGUUAAGUAAAAUUUUUACGUUUUAAUUCAUUCUUAAACCCUAAAGUUAGAUUUGGGGGUUUUUCUAAAUCUGUAACCUAAUCUUUUGAAACAAUUUGUUAUAUGUCGUUCGUUGAAUCGUUCUUUCUGUUUCAGAUUGUGAUUCCGAGAUAAACGUUUUUCGCUUGAAACGAUACAGAAUAUAUGUUGUUAUAUAUGUUUUUUGUUUGUCAUUUAUGUCAAUGUAUGUAGAUCUUGGUUUUGAGUUGUGUGGUAUGAGCAAACUUGGUUUUGAUGACUAUAUCUUCACCGCUACAGGGAGUUUAAUGCGAGUGAAUGUGGGUCAAAAUGAGUGUGUCAGAACGGUUAGUUUUUUGAGGUAGUGUUGGGAGCUGCUAAAGGGACUAAGUGAAAGUUUGGAGAUCAGUCAAAGCUGAGUCAAACUUAGUCAAUUAAGUCAACAAAAGUCGAAGUUGGUGUAUUUAAUUAGCUACAGAAUUGGAGUUCCGGGAGGUUCACAACAAUUUAGGUACUUUCAGGAGGCGCUGAUGGAUGGACGGUGAGUAGGGGUGUUCACGGGUCCCAGAACCACCGAUAUCGUUUCAGAGAAUGACAAACCCAACUGUACUGGCUGAUCUAACAACUUGGUUGUGGCGGUGAAAUGAAGAGUUGCUUCUGCACUAUCAACAGGAAGUGGGGAUGCCCAAUAUGUUAUAAAAUUUUGUCACCCAACCAACCCAUUUGAACCUCUAUUCUGGGAUAUUUGAGUGGUCUUAUCUAGCUUAUGAUUAUGCUCCUAAACUAAUUCAUCCAUGGACCUUUUUUCGUAUUUGGUUAUACUACUAAACAAAUUUUGGUCUUAUCAACUUUUUACGGGCUACUUCUCUUUGAUCACUCAGGUUUGCACUUUGUACAUUUAUUGUGUUUGGCCAUUAUGAUUGUUAUUACUACUUUCAUAGAUAUCCUUUAGUUGGUAAUGCAUAGAAGUUGGAACUUUUUUUUAUAUUUUCAAACAUUUUAACAAGUCACUUUCAUGUUACAUGAGCAAGCUAAGCAAACUGGCAUGCAAGAGUGGUGAUAUGGCCUUUCUUUUGUUUAAUCAGAUUGAGGUGGAAAGUGGUGGAACUUGAUGUUGUGCUUGAAACUGUUCCCGAGAUUAACGAAGUGGUUGGCAAUGCAAGUCACUGCAGUAACUCCAAAUCAUAUCCAGUUGGAGGUGUAGCAAGAAGAAAUGCUCCGGUUCCCCCCAUAGAGGCAAGUGAAGUUGGUGAGCCGUAUGAUGGGCAACUAUCUCCUGCGGUUGUACAAAAAAUUCGUGAAGAAGUUUUAUGCAAUGGGAAAUGGAAUGAAGAGGAUGCAUACCUCGAGACAUCAUCAGUAUUAAGCUAUAAGCUAGGUGACGUUAUUCCUGUCGAUGCACGUCUGCUUCAAGGAGUUGAUCAAUCAGCUCUUAUACGGGAUUGAAUUCUGGAGGAGAAAUGUUAAAUUAGGGUUUCUAAGUUGUUAUUGCCUGGCUAAUAAUAUUGUAAUUUAUGAGGACUUAUGAACAAAUCUCCAUAACCUUAGAUAACAGGACAUGGAAUGGCGGGAGGCAAAGCAGACGACAACUAUGGUUGAUUUUUGGAAGGACGGCAGACAUCACUCCAGCGUCAUCAAGCGCCACUCCACCGGCACUCCAUCGACUUCAAGCGGGUUUCCUGGAGAGGUAAUGAUGAAAUAGGGAUGAGAAGAGGUUCUGAAAAUAGGUUUACAAGAACACUUAUGGUUAAGAAGAUUCUGAACGACGGUGGCAGACUUUCAAACAACCAAAUGAAGGAUUCAACCGACGUUUUCUUUAUUGUUGAACUUUUCACAGCCUACGGUUUGCAUAUAUUUCUAUUUCUUUUUUUUCUUAUCCUCAAAAUUGUAUGUAAAUUAUAAAGUUCACUCUUAUAUAUAUAUUUAUUUUUUCUUUGUAUUGAAAGGUAUGACAUUGGCGGAUAGACCAUAAUAAAUUCACGCGUACAGUUUCUUUUA